rnacentral:rRNA from 1 species
UACGGAGGGGGCUAGCGUUGCUCGGAAUCACUGGGCGUAAAGGGUGCGUAGGCGGUCGUGCAAGUCGGAUGUGAAAUCUCAGGGCUCAACCCUGAAACUGCAUUCGAUACUGCGUGGCUAGAGUGCUGGAGAGGAGACUGGAAUUCCAGGUGUAGCGGUGAAAUGCGUAGAUAUCUGGAGGAAUACCGGUGGCGAAGGCGGCAUCCUGGACCGGCAUUGACGCUGAGGAGCGAAAGCCAGGGGAGCAAAGCGGG